rnacentral:rRNA from 1 species
AACGAACGCUGGCGGCAUGCCUAACACAUGCAAGUCGAACGAAGCCUUCGGGCUUAGUGGCGCACGGAUGCGUAACGCGUGGGAAUCUGCCCUUUGGUUCGGAAUAACAGUUGGAAACGACUGCUAAUACCAAAUGUGCCCUCUGGCCAUAAGGCCGCUGGGGAAAGGAAGCUUCGGCCUCCGCAUCGGGAUCGGCCCGCGGCCCAUUAGCUAGUUGGUGAGGUAACAGCUCACCAAGGCGACGAUGGGUAGCUGGUCUGAGAGGACGAUCAGCCACACUGGGACUGAGACACGGCCCAGACUCCUACGGGAGGCAGCAGUGGGGAAUCUUGCGCAAUGCGCGAAAGCGUGACGCAGCAACGCCGCGUGGGGGAAGAAGGCCUUCGGGUUGUAAACCCCUUUCAGUUGGGACGAAGGUUCGCCCGUUAACAGCGGGCCGGACUGACGGUACCUUCAGAAGAAGCCCCGGCUAACUACGUGCCAGCCGCCGCCGUAAUAC